rnacentral:misc_RNA from 1 species
UUUCCGUAGGUGAACCUGCGGAAGGAUCAUUACAGAGAUCAUGCCCUCUAAGGGUAGACCUCCCACCCUGUGUUAAUACUCUUGUUGCUUUGGCAGGCCGCCUUCUGACUCUCGGCUACGGCUGAGGUGCGCCUGCCAGAGGACCCCAACUCUGUGUUUAGUGUCGUCUGCGUACUAUAUAAUAAGUUAAAACUUUCAACAACGGAUCUCUUGGUUCUGGCAUCGAUGAAGAACGCAGC